rnacentral:lncRNA from 1 species
GCUCGGGCACCAUCGAGCUGGUGAAGAAGGGCUGCUGGCUAGAUGACUUCAAUUGCUACGACAGGCAGGAGUGUGUGGCCACUGAGGAGAACCCCCAGGUGUAUUUCUGCUGCUGUGAAGGCAAUUUCUGCAACGAGCGCUUCACCCAUUUGCCGGAGCCUGGGGGCCCAGAAGCCCCCACCCUGCUCACGGUGCUGGCCUAUUCGCUGCUGCCCAUUGGAGGCCUCUCUCUCAUCGUCCUGCUGGCCUUCUGGAUGUACCGACAUCGAAAGCCUCCCUACGGCCACGUGGACAUCCAUGAGGACCCUGGGCCUCCUCCCCCAUCGCCUCUGGUGGGCCUGAAGCCGCUACAGUUGCUGGAGAUCAAGGCUCGAGGUCGCUUUGGCUGCGUCUGGAAGGCUCAGCUCAUGAACGACUUUGUGGCUGUGAAGAUCUUCCCACUUCAGGACAAGCAGUCGUGGCAGAGUGAGCGGGAGAUCUUCAGCACACCGGGCAUGAAGCACGAAAACCUCCUGCAGUUCAUUGCUGCAGAGAAACGAGGCUCCAACCUGGAGGUGGAGCUGUGGCUCAUCACAGCCUUCCACGACAAGGGCUCCCUCACGGAUUACCUCAAGGGGAACAUCAUCACGUGGAACGAGCUGUGUCAUGUGGCAGAGACGAUGUCACGAGGCCUCUCGUACCUGCAUGAGGAUGUGCCGUGGUGUCGUGGCG